CAGAGUUCAUGCCCUUCGGGGUAGACCUCCCACCCUUGUGUAUUUAUACCAUGUUGCUUUGGCGGGCCGCCGCAAGGCUACCGGCUCCGGCUGGUACGUGCCCGCCAGAGGACCCAAACCCUGAAAUUAGUGUCGUCCGAGUACUAUAUAAUAGUUA
rnacentral:misc_RNA from 1 species